rnacentral:rRNA from 1 species
UACGUAGGGGGCAAGCGUUGUCCGGAUUCAUUGGGCGUAAAGAGCGUGUAGGCGGCCAGGUAGGUCGGUUGUGAAAACUGGAGGCUCAACCUUCAGAGGUCGACCGAAACCAUCUGGCUAGAGUCCGGGAGAGGAGAGUGGAAUUCCUAGUGUAGCGGUGGAAUGCGCAGAUAUCAGGAGGAACACCAAUAGCGAAGGCAGCUCGCUGGGACGUUACUGACACUGAGGCGCGAAAGCAUGGGGAGCGAACAGG